GUGUCUUCCGUUCUGAAAAACUGGUAAUCUAUUCCUUAAAAAAAAUCUUGGAGAUUAUGUAAUGCUUACUCUCAAACUUUUUGUUUAUACAGUAGUGAUAUUCUUUGUUUCACUCUUUAUCUUUGGAUUCUUAUCUAAUGACCCAGGACGGAAUCCUGGACGCGAGGAGUAAAAAUUCAGUUUUUUUUUCUUAUUGGAUUUGUUUCGUACAUUUAUCUAUGAGAAAAUCCGGGGGUCAGAAUUCUUUCCAAUUCGAAAGUCCCAAAUGAUCCAAGGGAGCGGAAAGAGAGGGAUUCGAACCCUCGGUACAAAAAAAUUGUACAACGAAUUAGCAAUCCGCCGCUUUAGUCCACUCAGCCAUCUCUCCACGUUCCAAAGCGAAAGGUUUCCGUGAUAUGAUAUAGGCAAGAAAUAAGAAAUAACGGUUGCAAAAAACCCCCUUUUUUUCUUUCAAAAGUCUAUAAAAAUUAUAUUGCCAAUUCCAUUUUAAUUAUAUUCUUUUUUCUUAAUGUUAAUAAAAAAAGAAGAAAAUUCUUGUUUUUUCUUUCUAAAAAUCGAUAUUGGCCGAGAGACAAUCAAAUAGAUUUUCUCUUUAGCGGGCAUUUCCAUAUAGGACUUGUUAUAAUUAUAAUAAAACAAGCAGGUUAUAUAAAAAAAACGCUUUUUUUGUCGAUUAUUUAUCAAGAAAGCAAAAAGGGUUCUUAUCAAAUCCACCAUAAAAUUGGAAAGAAGCAUAAAGUAAGUAGACCUGACUCCUUUAAUGAUGCCUCUAUCCGCUAUUCUGAUAUAUAAAUUCGAUGUAGAUGAAAUUGUAUAAGCGAAUUUUUUUUAUUUCCUUAGACUUAGACCGCGCAAGACAAGAAUUUUUCGCUAUUUACGAUUUCAUAUUCUUGUUACUAGAUGUUCUAUAGGAAUAAGAAGAAAUCGCAACUCCUUUGCGCUACACAUAAAAUUGGAUUUCGAAGGUC